rnacentral:rRNA from 1 species
AUUGAACGCUGGCGGCAUGCCUUACACAUGCAAGUCGAACGGUAACGCGGGGCAACCUGGCGACGAGUGGCGAACGGGUGAGUAAUAUAUCGGAACGUGCCCAGUAGUGGGGGAUAGCCCGGCGAAAGCCGGAUUAAUACCGCAUACGACCUACGGGUGAAAGGGGGGAGUCGCAAGACCUCUCGCUAUUGGAGCGGCCGAUAUCAGAUUAGCUAGUUGGUGGGGUAAAAGACCCACCAAGGCGACGAUCUGUAGCUGGUCUGAGAGGACGACCAGCCACACUGGGACUGAGACACGGCCCACGACUCCUACGGGAGGCAGCAGUGGGGAAGUUUUGGACAAUGGACGCAAGUCUGAUCCAGCCAUGCCGCGUGCGGGAAGAAGGCC